rnacentral:lncRNA from 1 species
AAUAAAAUCGAAACGACAAAACCCUUGCAGCAUCUAGAGUUUUCUUCCGAGCGUUCUAACCCCAACCUCAGGAGUCCGAGGCUUCUCAGGUCUGCAAGGUGGGAGCGCCGGGGCUGCCGGGGCUGCCGGGGCUGCCGGGGCUGCCGGGGCUCCCGCCGCACGCGCUGCGGGCGCUGCGGGCCGCGGCCGGGUCACGCCGUCAGCCGGCGGCCUCCGAGGGGGUGUGUCGCGGGCCCUCCGCCGCCUCCGCCGCCUCCGCCGCGGGCCCACCUGCUGCCCCCGGCUUCCCCCCCCCCCCGCCCCCGCGCGGGCGCCGCCGACCCCGGGCCGGUCCCGCUGCCCGCUUCCGGACGGGCCGCGCAGGCGGAGCGGCAGUUCUCGCCUCUCGGCCGCGGCGGGGCGGAGGACUUGCACUUUCUCCGCACGCGCGGACGCACGAACACGCACACGCACACGCACACGCACACGCGCCGCUCUGCAAAGUACGGGAGGUCGGCAUUUAAACAUGUAGGCUCGCGGGCUCUCCCCGCCUCCCUGCGACCGCGGCCCCUCUCGCACUGCCCCGGCGGCGGCGGCGGCGGCCCGCGCCCGGCCGCGUCGCCGAGCAGCCUCCCGCUCCGGCCUUCGCGAGGCGGGCGUGGAGUCUGCGAGCGUCGGGGGAGGGGUGCAGGGCGGGGAAAGAGCAUCCCCGCGCCGCCGCCGCCGCCGCCGGCCGGCUGGGGGAGGCCUCGUCACAGCCGCCGCCUCAGCAGCGGCCGCAGAUCUCGCGGUGUUUGCCGGCGCCGCGCCGCCAUAUUGUGUGGCAGUAUUUUGAUUUGCACUGGGCUGGCGGAGCCGCGGCGAGAGCGAGCGAGAGCUGGGGGGGUGGGGGGAGGGCAGGCGAGCGCGAGGGGGGUGGGGGCAGAGGGAGGUAGGGAGGCCGAGCGAGCCGGAGUCGAGGAGCGGGGAGCGGGGAGCGGCGACGCCACCCAGCCCGCGGUUUUGAUCUGCAGCGGCCGCCGGCGGGGCGACCCAGCCCGACCCCCUCUCCUCCCCUCCCCCUCAGCCACGAGGCGGCGGCGGCGGCGGCGGCGGCGGCGGCCGGAGGGAGUUGGCGGCGGCGGCCGAUCGGAGGGGCUGAGCGGGGAGGGAGGGAGGGCUGAGGUGUCCCCCCUGCCGGGUGGAAUCGGCGGCGGCGGCGGCGCUGGCGGCGGCCGUGGUGGCGGAGGCGGCGGCGGCGGCGGCGGCGACGGUGGAGACGGCUGCCCUAGUGGGAGAGGCGGCGGCGGCGGCGGCCGAGGAGGAGGAGGGGGAAGCGGCGGCGGCGAAGGGUAA